rnacentral:rRNA from 1 species
AACGCGAAGAACCUUACCAAGGCUUGACAUGCAAGGAAAUCUCGUAGAGAUACGGGGUCCGCAAGGGUCUUGCACAGGUGGUGCAUGGUUGUCGUCAGCUCGUGUCGUGAGAUGUUGGGUUAAGUCCCGCAACGAGCGCAACCCUCGUCCUAUGUUGCCAGCGAGUAAUGUCGGGGACUCAUAGGAGACUGCCGGGGUCAACUCGGAGGAAGGUGGGGAUGACGUCAAAUCAUCAUGCCCCUUAUGUCUUGGGCUGCACACAUGCUACAAUGGUCGGUACAAAGGGCUGCUAAGCCGCAAGGUGGAGCGAAUCCCAAAAAGCCGGCCUCAGUUCGGAUUGGGGUCUGCAACUCGACCCCAUGAAGUCGGAGUCGCUAGUAAUCGCAGAUCAGCAACGCUGCGGUGAAUACGUUCCCGGGCCUUGUACACACCGGUACUA